rnacentral:misc_RNA from 1 species
UCCUCUUUGGAGAGAGGAAAGUGAAGUAGCACUUGCAAGAUUCCAGCAAGGCCAUUGGCUGCACCCCAAUACCUUGUCCCAUGCCAUCUGUACAUCAAGGGGCAGGCUGGAUUAUCAGAUGCUCCUGCCCUGCCCCCAGCCAAUACAUCAACAACAGGCAGAAGAAGAUCAUUUGGCAAUGUCCCUUCUCCAAGAUGAUUAUUUAUAAACAAAGCAGCCCAUAAAAACCCAGCUCGUCCAUACAUAAGGUCAUAUGACAUUCCGAAACCACCUUCCUCAGGUCCGA